GGAAGUAUUAUAUCUUCGUUGAUGUGAAAAGCUGACACCACUUUAGGAUGAAAUUCGGGAACAGUUCGCAAAACAACUCUGUCCUUAUGAAAAACUGUAAAGGGCUCUUUCGUAGAUAAGGCAUGGAGUUCAGACACUCGUCUACCUGAGGCUAAGGCCACCAAUAGAACCGUCUUAAUGGUGAGUACCUGAGGAGAGAUGGAUUCAAG